rnacentral:lncRNA from 1 species
GUGGAAUUUCAUAAUCGGCAACUUUGAGGAAAUCCUUCUCCCAAAUUUCUCCCGAGAUACACCUGGUCCUUUCAUAAGUGUCCGCCUCUGCCGAUGCAAUGACAUAAGAAGAAUCCCCCGGAACAAUCUCAAUCUUGUCACCUACCCACUGAACCAAGCACUGGUGCAUUGUAGACGGGAUGCAACAAUUGGCAUGAAUCCAAUCUCUCCCUAGCAGCAAAUUAUAAGCACCUUUUCCACUGAUCAUGAAGAAAGUUGUCGGCAAGGUUUUGCUGCCGAUGGUCAACUCGACGCAUAUUGCCCUCUUAACUGGA